rnacentral:rRNA from 1 species
GAUGAACGCUGGCGGCGUGCCUAACACAUGCAAGUCGAGCGAGAAGCCGUGAAGUGGAGAUUCGUCAAAGCGACAUGGUGGAUAGCGGCGGACGGGUGAGUAACGCGUAGGUAACCUGCCCCUUACACAGGGAUAGCCUCGGGAAACCGGGAUUAAUACCUGAUAAAGCGGAGGGAACACAUGUUUCCAUCGCCAAAGAUUUAUCGGUGAGGGAUGGACCUGCGUCUGAUUAGCUGGUUGGUGAGGUAACGGCCCACCAAGGCAACGAUCAGUAGCCGACCUGAGAGGGUAAUCGGCCACAUUGGAACUGAGACACGGUCCAAACUCC